rnacentral:rRNA from 1 species
UACGUAGGGUGCAAGCGUUAAUCGGAAUUACUGGGCGUAAAGCGUGCGCAGGCGGCUUUGCAAGACAGAUGUGAAAUCCCCGGGCUUAACCUGGGAACUGCAUUUGUGACUGCAUGGCUGGAGUGCGGCAGAGGGGGAUGGAAUUCCACGUGUAGCAGUGAAAUGCGUAGAUAUGUGGAGGAAUACCGAUGGCGAAGGCAGCCCCCUGGGAUAACACUGACGCUCAUGCACGAAAGCGUGGGGAGCAAACAGG